GGCUCAGAGCGGACGCUGGCGGCAUGCUUAACACAUGCAUUUUCGCACGGAUUGGGGGCAACCCUGGUCAGUGGCGGACGGGUGAGUAACGCGUAGGUAUCUGUCUCCGGGUGGGGGAUAACGGUUGGAAACGACUGCUAAUACCGCAUGAUGCCCGAGGGCCAAAGGCGUAAGUCGCCUGGAGAGGAGCCUGCGUACGAUUAGCUUGUUGGCGGGGUAAAGGCCCACCAAGGCGACGAUCGUCAGCUGGUCUGAGAGGAUGAUCAGCCACACUGGGACUGAGACACGGCCCAGACUCCUACGGGAGGCAGCAGUGGGGAAUAUUGGACAAUGGGCGCAAGCCUGAUCCAGCAAUGCCGCGUGAGUGAAGAAGGUCUUCGGAUUGUAAAGCUCUUUCGACGGGGACGAUGAUGACGGUACCCGUAGAAGAAGCCCCGGCUAACUUCGUGCCAGCAGCCGCGGUAAGACGUAGGGGGCCAGCGUUGUUCGGAAUUACUGGUGUAAAGGGUUCGUAGGCGGUGCGG
rnacentral:rRNA from 1 species